AUUGAACGCUGGCGGCAUGCUUUACACAUGCAAGUCGAACGGUAACAGGGUGCUUGCACCGCUGACGAGUGGCGAACGGGUGAGUAAUGCGUCGGAACGUGCCGAGUAGUGGGGGAUAACGCAGCGAAAGUUGUGCUAAUACCGCAUACGUACUGAGGUAGAAAGUGGGGGACCUUCGGGCCUCACGCUAUUCGAGCGGCCGACGUCUGAUUAGCUAGUAGGUGAGGUAAAGGCUCACCUAGGCGACGAUCAGUAGCGGGUCUGAGAGGAUGAUCCGCCACACUGUGGCUGGGACACGGCCCAGACUCCUACGGUAGGCAGCAGUGGGGAAUUUUGGACAAUGGGCGAAAGCCUGAUCCAGCCAUGCCGCGUGUCUGAAGAAGGCCUUCGGGUUGUAAAGGACUUUUGUCAGGGAGGAAAUCCCUAGUGCUAAUAACACUGGGGGAUGACAGUACCUGAAGAAUAAGCACCGGCUAACUACGUGCCAGCAGCCGCGGUAA
rnacentral:rRNA from 1 species